rnacentral:rRNA from 1 species
GACGAACGCUGGCGGCGUGCUUAACACAUGCCAGUCGAGCGGAAAGGCCCUUUCGGGGGUCCUCGAGCGGCGAACGGGUGAGUAACACGUGAGUAAUCUGCCCUUCACUUGGGGAUAACCUCCGGAAACGGUGGCUAAUACCCGAUACGACCAUUCCUCGCAUGAGGUGGUGGUGGAAAGUUUUUCGGUGGGGGAUGUGCUCGCGGCCUAUCAGCUUGUUGGUGGGGUAAUGGCCUACCAAGGCUUCGACGGGUAGCCGGCCUGAGAGGGUGACCGGCCACACUGGGACUGAGACACGGCCCAGACUCCUACGGGAGGCAGCAGUGGGGAAUAUUGGACAAUGGGCGGAAGCCUGAUCCAGCAACGCCGCGUGAGGGAUGACGGCCUUCGGGUUGUAAACCUCUUUCACCUGUGACGAAGCGAAAGUGACGGUAGCAGGAGAAGAAGCACCGGCCAACUACGUG